GUUCAAGGGAUAGCUCAGUCGGUAGAGCAUGAGACUCUGAAUCUCAGGGUCAUCGGUUCGUGCCCCAUUUUGGGCA